rnacentral:rRNA from 1 species
CCAGACUCCUACGGGAGGCAGCAGUGGGGGAUAUUGCACAAUGGGGGAAGCCCUGAUGCAGCGACGCCGCGUGAGUGAAGAAGCAUUUCGGUGUGUAAAGCUCUAUCAGCAGGGAAGAAGAAUGACGGUACCUGACUAAGGAGCCCCGGCUAACUACGUGCCAGCAGCCGCGGUAAUACGGAGGGUGCGAGCGUUAUCCGGAUUUAUUGGGUUUAAAGGGUGCGUAGGCGGUCCGGAAAGUCAGCGGUAAAAGCCCGGGGCCCACCCCCGGCGAGCCGUUGAAACUGUCGGACUAGAGACGGCGAGAAGUACGCGGAAUGCGCGGUGUAGCGGUGAAAUGCAUAGAUAUCGCGCAGAACUCCGAUUGCGAAGGCAGCGUACCGGCGCCGGACUGACGCUGAGGCACGAAAGCGUGGGUAUCGAACAGGAUUAGAUACCCUUGUAGA